rnacentral:tRNA from 1 species
GCACCCGUGGUGGAAUUGGCAGACACGCAAGAUUUAGGAUCUUGUACGCAAGUGUGCGGGUUCAAGUCCCGCCGGGUGUACCA